rnacentral:rRNA from 1 species
CACGUAGGCACCAAGCGUUGUCCGGAUUUAUUGGGCGUAAAGAGCUCGUAGGCGGUUCGGUAAGUCGGAUGUGAAAACUUUGGGCUCAACCCAAAGCGUGCACUCGAUACUGCCGUGACUGGAGUUCGGUAGGGGAGUGGGGAAUUCCUAGUGUAGCGGUGAAAUGCGCAGAUAUUAGGAGGAACACCGGUGGCGAAGGCGCCACUCUGGGCCGAAACUGACGCUGAGGAGCGAAAGCGUGGGUAGCAAACAGG